rnacentral:rRNA from 1 species
GACGAACGCUGGCGGCGUGCUUAACACAUGCAAGUCGAACGGAUUGCUUGGUGCUUGCACUGAGUGGUUAGUGGCGAACGGGUGAGUAACACGUGAGUAACCUGCCCCCUUCUUUGGGAUAAGCACCUGAAAGGGUGUCUAAUACUGAUUAUUCUGCUGGAAUCGCAUGGUUUUGGUUGGAAAGGUUUUUUCUGGUGGGGGAUGGGCUCGCGGCUUAUCAGCUUGUUGGUGGGGUAAUGGCUUACCAAGGCUUUGACGGGUAACCGGCCUGAGAGGGUGACCGGUCACAUAGGGACUGAGAUACGGCCCAGACUCCUACGGGAGGCAGCAGUGGGGAAUAUUGCACAAUGGACGAAAGUCUGAUGCAGCGACGCCGCGUGAGGGAUGAAGGCCUUCGGGUUGUAAACCUUUUUCGCUUUUGACCAAGGCAGCAUUUUGGUGUUGUUGAGGGUAUGAGGUAAAGAAGCUCCGGCUAACUACGUGCCAGCAGCCGCAGUAAUAC